GGGGCCGACCUGGUUUCGACGUGGGUCAGGAAGUGGGUCAGGGCAUGCCGAGGACUCGUUACCUCGUAAAUCCAGCGGGAAAUUAAUAAACGCCAACGACGAGCGUUUCGCUCUCGCCGCCUAAUCCCGGUGAGCGCCACACCAACUUGCUGAUGGGUUGGGUCAGAUUCGGGUAACUGGGUCUGGCAGUGGUGUAACUGCAGCGUUCCUUUCCAGGACACGGGCAUGGCGAGCACCAGUGUGUCGAGUGGGGGGUGGUCGAAGCCUUCGCCGACCAACUUGCCGGUCGACAACAGUCGCGCAAGCACGGACGCGGCUG
rnacentral:tmRNA from 1 species